rnacentral:snoRNA from 9 species
CUUUCCUCAUGGGUUUAGGGUCUGAAAGACUCAGACAGUUGGUGUUGUCAUCAGCUUCAUCUCUAUAAUACCCACGAGAUAGGAGUUAAAUAACAGCACUAAAUUU